GGAACACGUGAGAAACCUGCCCAUCAUUUUGGGAUAACACCGGGAAACCGGUGCUAAUACCGAAUACUCCAUCGCAACGGCAUCGUUGCGCUGGGAAAGAAUUUCGAUGAUGGAUGGUCUCGCGGCCUAUCAGCUUGUUGGUGAGGUAACGGCUCACCAAGGCGACGACGGGUAGCCGGCCUGAGAGGGCGACCGGCCACACUGGGACUGAGACACGGCCCAGACUCCUACGGGAGGCAGCAGUGGGGAAUAUUGGGCAAUGGACGCAAGUCUGACCCAGCGACGCCGCGUGAGGGAUGAAGGCCUUCGGGUUGUAAACCUCUUUCAGUGGGGAAGAAGCGAAAGUGACGGUACCCAAAGAAGAAGCACCGGCUAACUAUGUGCCAGCAGCCGCGGUAAUACAUAGGGUGCAAGCGUUGUCCGGAAUUAUUGGGCGUAAAGAGCUCGUAGGUCGUUUGACACGUCAGAUGUGAAAAUCUGAGGCUUAACCUCAGACCUGCAUUCGAUACGGUCAAACUAGAGUGUGGUAGGGGAGACUGGAAUUCCUGGUGUAGCGGUGGAAUGCGCAGAUAUCAGGAGGAACACCAAUGGCGAAGGCAGGUCUCUGGGCCAUUACUGACACUGAGGAG
rnacentral:rRNA from 1 species